rnacentral:rRNA from 1 species
AAACUUCUGCUGAUCCCGGAUGAUCCCUUGGGGAAAAGAAAAAUUUCCUGGAGAAGAACUCCCGUCUGAUUAACUAGUUGGGGGGGAAAAAACAUUCCAAGGGGAAGAUCAUUAACUGGUCUGAAAAGAUGAACAGCCCCCCUGGGACUGACACCCCGCCCAGACUCCUACGGGAGGCAGCAGUGGGGAAUUUUCCUCCAUGGGGGAAAGCCUGACGGAAGCAGAACGCCCUGGGGGAAGAAAGGUCGAGGGUUGGAUACCCCUUUUCCUUGGGAAUAA